rnacentral:rRNA from 1 species
UACGGAGGGUGCAAGCGUUAAUCGGAAUCACUGGGCGUAAAGCGUGUGUAGGCGGCGCAGUAAGUCAGGGGUGAAAGCCCUCGGCUCAACCGAGGAAUUGCCUCUGAUACUGCUGUGCUUGAGGCUUGGAGAGGCAGGCGGAAUUCCAGGUGUAGGAGUGAAAUCCGUAGAUAUCUGGAGGAACACCGGUGGCGAAGGCGGCCUGCUGGACAAGUUCUGACGCUGAGGUACGAAAGCGUGGGUAGCAAACAGGAUUAGAUACCCUGGUAGUCCACGCCGUAAACGAUGGAUGCUAGGUGUCGGGCCGUUGGGUUCGGUGCCGUAGUUAACGCGAUAAGCAUCCCGCCUGGGGAGUACGGUCGCAAGGCUGAA